GUGCCAGCAGCCGCGGUAAGACGAACCGAGCGAACGUUGUUCGGAAUCACUGGGCUUAAAGGGCGCGUAGGCGGGUUCGCAAGUCUGUGGUGAAAUCCUCCGGCUCAACCGGAGAACUGCCUCGGAUACUGCGGGUCUCGAGGGUGAUAGGGGUAUGCGGAACUAUCGGUGGAGCGGUGAAAUGCGUUGAUAUCGAUAGGAACUCCGGUGGCGAAGGCGGCAUACUGGAUCACUUCUGACGCUGAGGCGCGAAAGCCAGGGGAGCAAACGGGAUUAGAAACCCCGGUAGUCC
rnacentral:rRNA from 1 species